rnacentral:rRNA from 1 species
ACGGGUGAGUAAUACAUCGGAACGUGCCCGAUCGUGGGGGAUAACGAAGCGAAAGCUUUGCUAAUACCGCAUAAGAUCUACGGAUGAAAGCAGGGGACCGCAAGGCCUUGCGCGAACGGAGCGGCCGAUGGCAGAUUAGGUAGUUGGUGGGAUAAAAGCUUACCAAGCCGACGAUCUGUAGCUGGUCUGAGAGGACGACCAGCCACACUGGGACUGAGACACGGCCCAGACUCCUACGGGAGGCAGCAGUGGGGAAUUUUGGACAAUGGGCGAAAGCCUGAUCCAGCCAUGCCGCGUGCAGGAUGAAGGCCUUCGGGUUGUAAACUGCUUUUGUACGGAACGAAAAGACUCUGGUUAAUACCUGGGGUCCAUGACGGUACCGUAAGAAUAAGCACCGGCUAACUACGUGCCAGCAGCCGCGGUAAUACGUAGGGUGCAAGCGUUAAUCGGAAUUACUGGGCGUAAAGCGUGCGCAGGCGGUGAUGUAAGACAGAUGUGAAAUCCCCGGGCUCAACCUGGGAACUGCAUUUGUGACUGCAUCGCUGGAGUACGGCAGAGGGGGAUGGAAUUCCGCGUGUAGCAGUG